GAUGAAGAACGCAGCGAAAUGCGAUAAGUAAUGUGAAUUGCAGAAUUCAGUGAAUCAUCGAAUCUUUGAACGCACAUUGCGCCCCUUGGUAUUCCGAGGGGCAUGCCUGUUCGAGCGUCAUUAUAACCCCUCAAGCUCGGCUUGGUGUUGGGGCCUGCCGCACGGGCAGCCCUUAAAAUCAGUGGCGGUGCCAUCUGGCUCUAAGCGUAGUAAUUCUUCUCGCUAUAGAGUCCCGGUGGAUGCUUGCCAUUAACCCCCAAUCUCAAUGGUUGACCUCGGAUCAGGUAGGGAUACCCGCUGAACUUAAGCAUAUCAAUAAGCGGAGGA
rnacentral:misc_RNA from 1 species